UUCGUCUGACAUUCGGCAAGACUUCACCAGGGUGUACCAGGUUUAACCUGUAAUGAAGUCUUGCAUCGUGGCAGA
ensembl:miRNA cin-mir-4144 cin-mir-4144